CUUUGCGAGUGAUUUGACCAGUGAUCUUCGAGUUUCUUGGGCAAAUCACUGCCCAUAUCACUGCUAUCUGUUGCCUCCGGGUUUCUGCUUUGGCUUGAUCUGGGCAGUGAUUGGAGCAGAUUUUUGGGCAAAUCAUCCUUUUGUAAUUUUUAUGCACUUUUUCUCCCAUUUUCCAAUUUCUUCCUUUUCUGUAAAAACAAGAUAAAAAUCAUAAAUUAAUCUAAAAAAUGUGUAAAUAAGCAAUAAUAAUUAUGAUAAAAAUGUGGCUAAAUUAUGCUUGAUCAAAUACCCCCACACCUAGCUUUUUGCUUGUCCUCAAGGAACAAAUAACUUAGCCAAUCAAGCCCCCUUUUUCCUUAGAGCCUAAGUACCACUUAAUCAGCCCCCCCUAGACUCCUAAUCUGAAUUAUCACAGUAUAGAGUACAUGCACUAAGGUCAUCCUCUCCUUUCCUUGUUUCCUUUCACCUACCAUGGUCAAGAGAAAGGUUUUUGAAACAAUCAUGCUUAUUACUUUAUGUUAGUUUUAAUGCAACCCCUAGGAGUGACUUGCCCCUUUUCUUUUUCUCCUGUUAAUUUUCAUUUUUAUUUUCAGCAGCACUUAUUCUUAUCCUUGCCUGAAAAAGUCACUAACCUUUUUAUGCGAUUGUGUACAUGGGUGAUACACCCCCGGUUACUCAGUUAGUCACUUGUUCAAGUGGCUACUAGCUCUGCUCAUAGUCUAGACCAUCGAAACUUAUUUGCUUGGAAAAGUCACUAACCUUUUUACGCGAUUGUGUACAUGGGUGAUACACCCCCGGUUACUCAGUCAGUUACUUCUCCAAGUGGCUAUUAGGCUCAGUUCAUAGUCUUAGACCAUUGGAACAAGUUUGUGAUUUGUGCUUUGUGCUGGUUUUUCAUGAUAGUUUGGGCAAACCAACUCAUAGAGAGUUACACUAGCUUUGUAUUUGCAUGUAUUUGUAUUUUUAUUUCCCUUGACCUUAGCACAUUUAAGGAUUCAAUUCAAGAGAAAAACUCUCUAAGUGAAGGUAACAUACUGUGAAUGAUUCAAUUUAGGCUUAAAGGGGUGGCAAAUUAAUGGGAU
rnacentral:lncRNA from 1 species